UACGUAGGUGGCAAGCGUUGUCCGGAAUUAUUGGGCGUAAAGCGCACGUAGGCGGCUUGGCAAGUCGGAUGUGAAAGCCCUCGGCUCAACCAAGGAAGUGCAUCCGAAACUGCUGAGCUUGAGUACUUAAGAGGAUCGCGGAAUUCCCGGUGUAGAGGUGAAAUUCGUAGAUAUCAGGAAGAACACCCGUGGCGAAAGCGGCUCUCUGGAACGGUACUGACGCUGAGACGCGAAAGCGUGGGGAGCGAACAGG
rnacentral:rRNA from 1 species